rnacentral:rRNA from 1 species
GUUGGGUAGGGGAGCGUUCUGUAAGCCUGUGAAGGUGGCCUGUGAGGGUUGCUGGAGGUAUCAGAAGUGCGAAUGCUGACAUAAGUAACGAUAAAGCGGGUGAAAAGCCCGCUCGCCGGAAGACCAAGGGUUCCUGUCCAACGUUAAUCGGGGCAGGGUGAGUCGACCCCUAAGGCGAGGCCGAAAGGCGUAGUCGAUGGGAAACGGGUUAAUAUUCCCGUACUUGGUGUUACUGCGAAGGGGGGACGGAGAAGGCUAUGUUGGCCGGGCGACGGUUGUCCCGGUUUAAGCGUGUAGGUGUGUGUUCCAGGUAAAUCCGGUUCACUUUAACACUGAGGCGUGAUGACGAGGCACUACGGUGCUGAAGUAACAAAUGCCCUGCUUCCAGGAAAAGCCUCUAAGCAUCAGGUAACAUCAAAUCGUACCCCAAACCGACACAGGUGGUCAGGUAGAGAAUACCAAGGCGCUUGAGAGAACUCGGGUGAAGGAACUAGGCAAAAUGGUGCCGUAACUUCGGGAGAAGGCACGCUGACACGUAGGUGAAGUGAUUUACUCAUGGAGCUGAAGUCAGUCGAAGAUACCAGCUGGCUGCAACUGUUUAUUAAAAACACAGCACUGUGCAAACACGAAAGUGGACGUAUACGGUGUGACGCCUGCCCGGUGCCGGAAGGUUAAUUGAUGGGGUCAGCGCAAGCGAAGCUCCUGAUCGAAGCCCCGGUAAACGGCGGCCGUAACUAUAACGGUCCUAAGGUAGCGAAAUUCCUUGUCGGGUAAGUUCCGACCUGCACGAAUGGCGUAAUGAUGGCCAGGCUGUCUCCACCCGAGACUCAGUGAAAUUGAACUCGCUGUGAAGAUGCAGUGUACCCGCGGCAAGACGGAAAGACCCCGUGAACCUUUACUAUAGCUUGACACUGAACAUUGAGCCUUGAUGUGUAGGAUAGGUGGGAGGCUUUGAAGUGUGGACGCCAGUCUGCAUGGAGCCGACCUUGAAAUACCACCCUUUAAUGUUUGAUGUUCUAACGUGGACCCGUUACCCGGGUUGCGGACAGUGUCUGGUGGGUAGUUUGACUGGGGCGGUCUCCUCCUAAAGAGUAACGGAGGAGCACGAAGGUUGGCUAAUCCUGGUCGGACAUCAGGAGGUUAGUGCAAUGGCAUAAGCCAGCUUGACUGCGAGCGUGACGGCGCGAGCAGGUGCGAAAGCAGGUCAUAGUGAUCCGGUGGUUCUGAAUGGAAGGGCCAUCGCUCAACGGAUAAAAGGUACUCCGGGGAUAACAGGCUGAUACCGCCCAAGAGUUCAUAUCGACGGCGGUGUUUGGCACCUCGAUGUCGGCUCAUCACAUCCUGGGGCUGAAGUAGGUCCCAAGGGUAUGGCUGUUCGCCAUUUAAAGUGGUACGCGAGCUGGGUUUAGAACGUCGUGAGACAGUUCGGUCCCUAUCUGCCGUGGGCGCUGGAGAACUGAGGGGGGCUGCUCCUAGUACGAGAGGACCGGAGUGGACGCAUCACUGGUGUUCGGGUUGUCAUGCCAAUGGCACUGCCCGGUAGCUAAAUGCGGAAGAGAUAAGUGCUGAAAGCAUCUAAGCACGAAACUUGCCCCGAGAUGAGUUCUCCCUGAGACUUAAAGUCUCCUGAAGGAACGUUGAAGACGACGACGUUGAUAGGCCGGGUGUGUAAGCGCAGCGAUGCGUUGAGCUAACCGGUACUAAUGAACCGUGAGGCUUAACC